UAUUUUAAAAGUUCUUAUAAUAUUGUAUAUGAAAGAGAAAGAUAUGUCAUAGCUGUUGAAGCUGGUUAUCCUCUUAACUGUAAAAUAAAUGACAGCAGUUAAGCUACUUUUAUGAUUGUAGUGAAGAUCUAACAGGGGUUAUUCAAGAAAUUCCUUGCAUUGAUAUGGUUGUUAGAAACACUAAUGAAACAUAAACAUGAAAUUAAAUUGCAUUAAGAAAGGAUAAAUACAUCUUGAGGCAUCAAAUUACUUUUUCCCUGAACCUUGUCUCAUUGCCAACUUCUACUUGAAAUACUGGAUCAGAAGUUAAUCACCAAGGGAAGUAUAUAAACUAGUCACAAGCUCAUCCCCACACUUUCUUGUCCUCAUGCUCCUCUGUAUCUUCUUAAUCAUGUAUUGAGAUAUUGAGUUUCGCCUUUAACAAGAAUCUCUAUAAGUUUGCAGAUCCCCCUUAUAAAUAGAUCUGCAGCUGGUUUACCCGUCUAAUCAAACAUGGCUAGAGCCAGUGACUAGAUGGUUGAGUCACCCAACUCCUCUGCCUUUGGAGAGGUUGCAACUUUUGCAACACCCUGGAGUAAAUUUGGUAACUCUCAUUAUUAAAAGCAAAACUAAAAAACGGAAGAUUUUUAGAAGCUAUUUUGGUUAGUCUGGCGUGGCUUUUUCCACUGGUUAAGAAAUGGUUUUUUCCUGUGUUUUAACCAAGGCAUGGCUUUUUCCACUGGUUAAGCAAUGGUUUUUUCCUGUGUUUUAGAGAAGCUAUUUUGCAGAAUAACAAUCUGGAGUCCAGAAAGUGUACCAAACAUUAUAAUUUGUCAGAGAUAAGGAACAAUUAUUCCAUUUACUCCUCAUUCUUGUGAACCAUUGAAUCUUAAAGGACUUUUUGUUUCCUUUAUGCAUGAACUGCAUUCCCUUGUUGCUUCAUUAAUGAAUUUUCUGUCUUUGAAAUGCUUUUCUUUCUUUUGCUUAAAAUUAGUGCAUCCUUAUUUUUCUUUUCUUUUUCUUUUCUAGCAGAUUACACUCCAAAUAUCACUUUUCUUGUUAUUUCUGUGUUGUAUUGUAUGGCUGAUGAAGAUGAUGGCCUUGAAUAUCCGUGUCUUCAUCUUAAUACACCGGUUAUGUAGAUGUUUUGAGUUAUGUUCUCGCUGUUACAGCUAAAGAAAGCACUACAUAAUGGUGCCCGUGUAUCUAAUUUUUGAAAUUGCAGAUGGCAGAAUACUUCAAUGAGAAAUCUGGUAUAUCAGGAUGCAUUUCCACUCGGAAACUUUAAUGCCAUGUUCAAUUUCACUGGUUCUUGGCAGUUGANNNNNNNNNNNNNNNNNNNNNNNNNNNNNNNNNNNNNNNNNNNNNNNNNNNNNNNNNNNNNNNNNNNNNNNNUAAAAGUUUGGAGGGAAAAGAGAUCUCUUAACAAAAUCUAAAGCUUUUACCUAUGGGAUUGGGCAUAUCCUGCUGUUACCUUUCGUUGUUACUAACAACCUGCAAAUAUGCAAUUGAAGUAUUUCAUUUUUACCAAUUUCGUCAGUUUAUGUUAGGUAUCCUUUUGGGGGUAAAUAAAAAUUUCCGGCCUGUGCUUUUCCACUUUAGGACAGUGGAAACUAGUAAAAGCCCAGCAGGCAGUAGGCCUUGUAACCCCACCCAAAGAAAAGAUGCUGAAUCUUUGUCAUAUAUAUAACCUUUUUCUGGAUGUUCGUACCUUUCUUCAUUUGGAACAUAAUAGGUUUUCUUUGACAAACAUGAGCCAUUAUGGAGUACAUUAAGCCGUCCUAAAUAUGAGCAUUAAAUAAGUAACUUCAAAUUUACAUAUAUCACUCUUAAAAAGCUACAUCAAAUCAGGUUUCUGAUAUGUAUUCCUCUUUUGUAAUUUUCUAUUUUCAGUUUUAUUGAAAAUUAUGGUACACAUAUAGUUACAUCUGCAACAGUUGGUGGAAGAGAUGUGGUUUAUAUCAGGCAGCACCAAUCAUCUCUAUUGUCUUUGUCGGAUAUUGAGAACUACGUCCAUGAUAUCGUGGAGCAUAGGUUUGUGAACUCAGAAGACCAGUCCAGUGCUGGCCCCUUAAAGUACAAGGACAAGGUUAGAAUUAUCGCAUUUAAGACUAUCAAGAUUCUUCUUUUUUUUUCGUUUUUUUUCUGGCAUCUUGAUAUUGGCACUAAACAGAAAGAGCAGUUUGUCUGUCAAACUAAAAAUCAUUCAUCCCUUGGUAAAAGUAAAAUUUGAUGCCAAGUUCUUACAUGUAAAGACGUUAUAAGCUAAGCUUAAAAUUUUUUGAUUAAGAAUGACGCUUGACUUCAUCAACUAAAUUCUUCUAAUUUCUCUUCAACUUGCUUUUUGGACAUGCUUGCAAAAGUUUAUGAAACCAUUACAUUCGCCGUCUAUUCCUGGAUACUGUUCUGGUGGAUCCAGACAACAAUUCGUUUACGAUGCCAUUUGCAUUAUGAUCCUUUUAUAUGUGUGGAUUUAUUGCUCAAAAUUUUCUUGUUGUAGGAUGUUACAGUGAUUUUUAGAAGAAGAGGAGGUGACGAUCUUGAGCAGAGUCAUGCCAAGUGGGCAGAAACAGUCAAAUUGGCCCCUGACGUAAUUAACAUGACAUUCACCCCGAUUGUUUCUCUGCUUGAAGGAGUGCCUGGACUAAAGCAUUUGGCCCGCGCAAUUGAGUUAUAUUUGGAGUGUAAGUUAUCAUUUAAUAGUUUUUCUUCUGGCGAAGUUGUCCUUAUCAAAAAAGUUGUCAAAUCAUUUCAGUUAAAAAAAGUUAUUACUUAUAAGUUGCAUGCUAGUUUAAGUGGAGGAGUACGUUGAUUUUUGGUGAGAGAUUUAUCACUAGUUAAUUCCUUAGCACUACAUUUUCAUAUUGGUUACUCAUUUUACCAUUUUCUGGAGAAUGUUGUUACUUGUUUUUUUUUUUUUUUUUGGCUGCACACUGUUGUGUGAACAGCUGAAAGUGUCUAAAAGAAUCAAAUGAAUAGAACAAACUUUAACAGAUUUUGGUAAUAAACAAGUAACUUUUAGAUUAUAAUGAAGUAAGUUUUGCAGAUUUUACAAGGAGACAAGAAAAGCUGAUGAGGAAAUGAAAGUUCCUCGCUAGACUUGUCCGAGAAUUGUUUAUACAUUGAAUAGGUCUUUAUUAUCCUCUUCUCAUUAUUCUUAAUUAUGAUUACCGGUCAAGAAGAGGCUGAAUUUCCACAAAAAAUAUUUACGCUCCUAUUUGCCAAACCAUGUUUAUUCUCUGUUAAGUACAAUUACCUUGCUGAUUUUGCACUCACCGAAGUAAAAUGUCAUUGAUUUUACAGAUGCUCUCUCUCUCUCUCUCUCUCUCUCUCGCUCUCUCCCUCCCUCCCUCCCUUCUAUAAAUUACUAAUUAUUUGAUUAUCUUUUGUAAUUUACCAGACAAGCCUCCAAUUGAAGAUUUACAAUAUUUUUUGGAUUUUCAACUUGCUAGAGUUUGGGCUCCAGAACAGAGUAACAUCCAAAGAAAGGAGCCUGUUUGUCCAUCCCUUCAAUUCAGCUUGAUGGGUCCCAAACUUUUUAUCUGUCCUGAUCAGGUAUUAUUUUUUCUUUCAUUUUUUGGAAAUUUGCAUUGUCUAAUGUGUUUAGUUAUGGAAGGGUAACAGAGCAAGAUAAUUUCUAGUGGACAUUGUUUGAUGGUUCUGCUUUCCAAAGUUCAAUUUCCUGUACUAAUUAAAUCAGGUCGUUCUACUGAGAAGCAAGAACUUAAUUUAUGCUGCAGAUAGAAAGAGGGCCUUGUCUGAGAUACAGAUUUGUUUAACGUAGUUGAUUUGACAGACAGAGAGAGAACUUAGAACAGCAUGGCUGGACUUCCAGUAUUUAUUACAGUUAAUACAAUUUUGAUUCCUAAGAAGCUUAGGUCCACCAAGGCAACGAUUAUGGACAUGAUUAAGUCUAUUUCCCUCAUGUCAAAAAGAAAAAUCUGUUUGGCAUGCAUAAAGUAGUCUUAUCUUUUUCAGCUACUGAUUUAAAGAUGCUUGUUGUGGUUUCCCAAGCUAAAUGAAAGUAUAUGUUGAUGUUUCAGGUAACUGUGGCCGUAAACCAGUCACUGGACUUAGGCUUAGCUUGGAAGGCAGCAAGCAAAACAGACUUGCUAUCCAUUUGCAACACUGGUAUCUCUUCCAAAAAUCCUUCAACCUCAUUGGACACACAUGUUGCCAUAGGUGCACCAAGAUGGAAAGGUCCAGAAGAGCAGGACAGCCGCUGGUUCGAACCUAUAAAAUGGAAGAACUUCUCUCAUGUAAGCACCAC
rnacentral:lncRNA from 1 species